UCCGGUUGAUCCUGCCGGAGGUUACUGCUAUCGAGGUUCGACUAAGCCAUGCGAGUCGAAUGUAGCAAUACAUGGCGUACUGCUCAGUAACACGUGGAUAACCUACCCUUGAGACGGGGAUAAACCCGGGAAACUGGGUAUAAUACCCGAUAGAUCUCGACUGCUGGAAUGCAUCGAGCUUGAAAGCUCCGGCGCUCAAGGAUGGGUCUGCGGCCUAUCAGGUAGUAGUGGGUGUAGCGUACCUACUAGCCUACGACGGGUACGGGUUGUGAGAGCAAGAGCCCGGAGAUGGAUUCUGAGACACGAAUCCAGGCCCUACGGGGUGCAGCAGGCGCGAAAACUUUACAAUGCUGGAAACAGCGAUAAGGGGACCUCGAGUGCCAGGUUACAAAUCUGGCUGUCGUGAUGCCUAAAAAGCAUUGCAUAGCAAGGGCCGGGCAAGACCGGUGCCAGCCGCCGCGGUAACACCGGCGGCUCGAGUGGUAACCGUUAUUAUUGGGUCUAAAGGGUCUGUAGCCGGCCGGAUAAGUCUCUUGGGAAAUCUGGCAGCUUAACUGUCAGGCUUUCAGGAGAUACUGUCUGGCUCGAGGCCGGGAGAGGUGAGAGGUACUUCAGGGGUAGGGGUGAAAUCUUGUAAUCCUUGAAGGACCACCAGUGGCGAAGGCGUCUCACCAGAACGGACCUGACGGCAAGGGACGAAAGCUAGGGGCACGAACCGGAUUAGAUACCCGGGUAGUCCUAGCCGUAAACGAUACUCGCUAGGUGUCGGCAACGGUGCGACCGUUGUCGGUGCCGUAGGGAAGCCGUGAAGCGAGCCACCUGGGAAGUACGGCCGCAAGGCUGAAACUUAAAGGAAUUGGCGGGGGAGCACCACAACGGGUGGAGCUUGCGGUUUAAUUGGAUUCAACGCCGG
rnacentral:rRNA from 1 species